AAGUGUUAACUAAUUAGCUGAACAAUUAAUUAGAUGAUGAAGAUUAGGUGAUGAUGUUUAUUCACAAUCGACGGGAAAAUAGAAAACAUUAAUUAACCAAGAGAAUUAGAAAAACAAUCAACCAAAACAAUUAGAGAAAAAUUAAAAAUCUCAAUGGAAAAAAUUCUAAGGGUCAAUGUGUUAAUUUCCAAUCAAAUGUUACAAUUGUUUCUUAAUUAAUGUUCCCCUUUUUCGCGAAAAUUCUUUUUUUUUAUUAAUCCGAUUAACUAAUUCUCUUCAAUGUUACAUAGUUUUAAUUAGAUUAAUUGUUGUUGAUUAAUCACUUUCUCUCAUCGAGAUUCUUAUGAACAAGUGAUAAUUCACUGGAUUGAAAUAAAUUCAAUUCCGACAACAAUUUUUGUUUCUUCAUCUUUAACUCUUUAUGUUUGGUUACCUUGAUUAACCAUUUUUUUUUGCUUAAUCAUUUAUUAUCCCUUUUUUUGUUUCUAUUCAAUUUAAUCUUCUUUUAUAUCCUUCAAGUUAAUCCAUUUGGUGUUGAUAUUGUCCAUCAUCAAUCUCCUUGAUGUUAUUAUGAAAGGCUUAAAUUUAGGAACCUUGAUUUAGUUUAUUAAAUAAUCAGUUCUCAUAAGAAUUGGAUAACCAUAAUUAAAUUAACAGGUCAACAUUCAGUAACUAACCAUGAAAAAGGUUUUGACUUUGACUAACAAUUAAUUUCGUGAUGAUUAUCAAUUAACAGACUUCACGAUCUCGUUAAUCUAACAAGAGGAAGCAAAAGGACAUACAAACAAAGUUUCUUAAGUCAACAUCCAUUAUAUUAUACAAGGAAACUAACAAAUUCUCACUGUUACUGUUAUAUAAUAGAGAAAGAAUAAGGUUAUCAUGAAUAUUAUUACCUUCGCAACGACGUUCAUUGAAAUUGGAACAAGCAGUGAAAAUCCAAUUUCUAAGCUCAGGAGAUAACCAAUUAGCUGCCAAUGUUUGACAUUCUCUUGGAACCCGUUGUCUCAUACAUCGAUCCAAGGCGAUAUUACGACAACACUCCUUCCCAAUACCUGAUGAAAGAAAGAAAAAUUAAAGUACAAUCAGAAAGGUUUAAGGUUAUAUCAAUCAUAAAAUAGACUUUGGAUUGGAUGAUAAAUUGUCAAAAUUAACAAGCCAUGGACAAAUACAGUAUCUAAAUCAAAUGAUCCAUCAAGAGAAGUGAUCGAUUUACAAAAAUAUUCAAUCAAAGAUUAUCAAUCCAAUGAGUUGGCUAAAGAGCAACAGAUACAAUCUAUUACAUGUUAUAUAAGCAUCAUUUAUUGAUCUACAUCCUCAUCACAAAGAAAUAGCAACAUUCAGGAAGUGGAAGAAAAAAUCACAAAAAAGAGAGACUUUAAUGAUCCUUUUCCAAAAACGAUUUCCAUUGUCUUCCAUCAUCAUCACACAAAUAAUUUCCAUCUUCUCAUCUCAACAACUCUGAUUUCGUAUUGCAUAAAAAUACUCAACUCUUAAUAGGUCAAGAACAUGAUAAUGGUAACUCUGCUGAUCCUGUGUAAUAUAUUGCUGAUUACGCUUUUCCUCUUCCUCCCACUUCUUUCUCAUUCUUUUGGAUGAAUGGAUCAAUGAGUAAAGAGAGAGAUAUAUAAAUCUUCAAUGAUUAUUGGCAAAGAAAGAGACUAAAUGAUAAAAAGAGUAUUAGAUUCUACUAAGGGAUAAGUAACUGGACCAAGAUAUUGACCAUUUUGUUAUAAAGCAGAAGGUGAGAUGUAUGAAUUUCCAUGUUUCCUGGUAUAGAGAUACAUCUAAAGAUAUACCAAUAAAGGAAGAAGGUGAUGAUGAUUAUGAUUAUGGUGAUAGAGAAGGGAUGAAGAUAAAGUAAGAAAAAUCUAACAGAAUCUUUGGCGAUUGAUAUAACUACUUUUAUCACUGAUAAGUAGCUCACUCGAAUCAACUUACCACCAUGUUCAUCCUCUUUCCUCUCCCAUCACCAAAGAUUCAAAGUAAAUUGAAUCAAAAUCACCAACAGAGUGUGAAAGUUAACAGAAAACAGAAUCUAAAAUUAAAAGCCACUCAAGGUGUAUAUGGAUAACUAAAAGAUUCAAGGAAGUGUAUCAACCAGAAUUGAGAAGGAAAAAUUGGCAACCAUGUUUACAAUCAAUUGAUAAUAUCUAGUUGAUUUACUUUCAAUUGGUUAAAGUCAAAUACACACUCACACAAAUUGUUGAAAAUGAUUGAAAAAAUUACAAUUUUCAGUUCCAAAUCAUUUCAUCAUCUAAAUUGUCAACUUUUCCCCUGCUGAUUUUGACAUGAUUACAAUUAUUUCACUUAAAUCAUGAUAGUUUUUCACACCGUUAACUUUAUAUUUCACUAUUAUAAUAAUUUAUGAUUAACUUAUUAUAAUUAACAAUCAAGAAACUAUUAUCGCAUUUGAUUUAAUUGAGCUGUUGUGUUAAAUAGUUUUAUCAACAAUCAAUGAUUUCACCUUGACAUCUCUAAUUUCAUAUCAUUUUGUUGAUAAAUUAAUGAAAUGAAAUUUUGAUUGAUUACAAUUAAUGCUGAUUGUUUUUUUUUAAUCUACAGAAUUGGAAUCAUGGGUUUUUUUUAAUAACGCUGAUUGAGAUUUUUAUUACUAUGAUUACAAUGCCAUUGGUAAUUAACUUAAUUGUGAUAAUUGGCUUUACGAUCUGGUUUAAAUGGUUUGACAAGCAGGAACAAUUAAUUAUCAUUAAUAAUAAUAAUAAUCAACAGGAAAACAAAAGAUUGUUACAUUUAUGAUAUUAUCACCAUGGAGAGUUGAGUUGCAUCCAUCAUUGAAUAAUAAUAAUAAUCAUCAAUGAACUUGUUACCUGUCAAAUAGAUGGAAGUGAAAAAUUAGAGUAACGAUAAUGCCCCAGGCUAUUUACAUUGGAAAAUGAUGGAUUGAACGACAAGAGAAAAAGAAAGAAGAACAAAAAAAAUCAACAAUAAUCAUCAUAUUUUUCAUUCUUUUAUUUUCUUCAUCAUCACUAUUACAUAAAGAUGAUGAUGAUCAGGAAGAUGAAAAGAGAUGACAAUCAACCUGAAUAAUGUUCACCAAUGUUAACCUUUCUCUCCAUAGGAAAAAUAUUUUCGAGACUGAAUUUAAUUUAAUUCACUUACGGAUUAACCUCCUCACUCUUAAUUCAAUGGAGAAGCAAUUAAAUUAACUUCUACUCGGAGGAUUGGUCACAUUAAUAUCUCCAUAAUGUGUACGUUGUGAAUAACAAUGGAAAAGAGGAAGAGGAAGAGGAAGAUAAAUGACUAAUCUUAAGAUGAUUCCGGAGAGAAUCAUGUAAAGUAGCUUUGGAAAAGCCAAUUAACUAAUCAUUAUUUUGAUAGAUUAACUUGUAUCGAUGAUGAUUAACCAACCUAAUCAUCUUGAGAGUGUAAGAAACUCAUUCAAUUGAUUGAACGAAUUAUCAAUUUGAGAGAAUUGCCUUAAUCAAGUAGCCAUUCGAGUAUUAGUUAAUUGUUAUUUCUGCAAUUUACUUUUUUCAACGAUCAAAUAACCCCAACGACUGAUAUGUAACACUAAUUGUAUUAAGUCAUGAAAUUUGUUUACUAAUCAAUUAAUUAGCAUGAAAAUUCAUCUCCCUUCAAUUAGUUUACUACAAUUUAGUUUGAUUGUUUCAAAUUUGGUCUUUUAUUUUUCAAAAGCUUAAUUGUAAAAAAUUAACUCUCACUUUAACCCACACUCAUUAACAAUACAAGUUUAUGCUUCUGUUAACUCAGAAAAUAAUCUAAUUAGUUAAUUGUAUUAUAAGACAAAGUUAAAGAUCGUCAGUUUAAUUACCGUAAAUGAUGAUUACUUUCAAUAGUUAAUCAUUUUAAUACAUGAAAGUAAAUUACCUUAGACAAAUUAUGAUCAUUUGUGAUUAGAAACUUGAAACCAGAAAAAAUUAAUCAUUUUCUGUUAUAAUUUAGCUAAUCAUCUAGCAAUCAACUAAUUGUUACGAUGUUUAAUUAAUGAAUAAAAUUAGUUGUUCAAUUUUGUUUAUCUUAA